rnacentral:misc_RNA from 1 species
AAAACAUCAAUCAGGAAGAAUUAGAUGACAUCAUAAGGUAUGGAUCAAAAGAAUUAUUUGCUGAUGACAAUGAUGAGGCUGGAAAAUCCCGACAAAUUCAUUAUGAUGAUGCUGCAAUAGAUAGACUUCUUGACCGUGAGCAAGUUAUAGAUGAGGAUGCUGCAGCAAAUGAUGAUGAGGAGGAUUCAUUUCUGAAGGCUUUUAAGGUUGCUAAUUUUGAAUACGUUGAAGAAGCAGAAGCAACAGCAGAGGAGGAAGCAUCAACUGCCCCUGUGGAGA